rnacentral:tRNA from 1 species
GGAGAAUUAGCAAACAUGGUGUAUGCGCCGGACUGAAAAUCCGGAGAUCCGGGAUCGUUACCCGGGUCCUCCAC